rnacentral:rRNA from 1 species
UUUCCGUAGGUGAACCUGCGGAAGGAUCAUUAUCAAUAUCAGCGGGCUUCGGCCCCUGCUAUACCCUUGUCUUUUGCGUACCACUUGUUUCCUCGGCGGGCUUGCCUGCCGAUAGGACAAACACAAACCCUUUGUAGUUGCAAUCAGCGUCAGAAAAAAACAAUAAUUAAAACUUUCAACAACGGAUCUCUUGGUUCUGGCAUCGAUGAAGAACGCAGCGAAAUGCGAAAAGUAGUGUGAAUUGCAGAAUUCAGUGAAUCAUCGAAUCUUUGAACGCACAUUGCGCCCCUUGGUAUUCCAUGGGGCAUGCCUGUUCGAGCGUCAUUUGUACCUUCAAGCAAUGCUUGGUGUUGGGUGCUUGUCCGCCAGCGGACUCACCUAAAAGCUAUUGGCAGCCGCCGCAUAGGCAGCAGAGCGCAGCACAUUACCGCGUCUCUGCCCUCCGCGACGGCAUCCACAAGCCCUUUCAACGUUGACCUCGGAUCAAGUAGG